AAUGAGAUGCCAUAAGGCUAUCUCACCUUCUUUUUUUAUUCUACUCUCUAUGUUGUACUAUUCCUAGGAGCCAUGGUCUUGUGCAUGCUCUUUUUGGUUGCAACCUGUGUUUAAUAGAAUUUGUGCUACUUCAGCUAGUUUGGCUAGGCCGAUAAUAUGCGGAAACAUGGGCUAACAUACUUCAGCUAAUAUUUUAAGUAAGCCCAGCAUCCAGAAACAGAGUUAUUCCUUCGAUUCUUUUCUGAGAACAACCAUCACAGCCAGCUCAGCUCAGCCAACUCACAUGGAGCAGAAAAUAUGCUCUUGUAAAUUAGUUAUGGAUCCUGUAUUUACGGUAGGACAACAAAGGAAUUUGUAUAGAUUUUUUUUUCUUUUCCAGAUUCUUCUAUGGAAUUGUAUAUAAACAGAAGCAAUACAAUGAAAACAG
rnacentral:misc_RNA from 1 species